NAUACACACAGAAGAUUAGUAUGGCCCCUGCACAAGGAUGACACGGAUAUUCGUGAAGUGUUCCAUAUUUUU
rnacentral:snRNA from 1 species